GAAGCGGCCUGUGCGAAUCAUUCCCUACUUCCGGCCUGUGCGAUCCACCUUACUUCCGGUCACUGUACUCCAUUCCACACAGAGGAAUCUUCGGUGUCCGUAGAGAUCAGGGUAAUACAGUAGUGAAGACGACCUUUGGUGAGUGUGAGACACCCAGCAGCCAUCCUCGUGUGUCAGGUUGACUAAGCAGGACCCACAGCCCCAUCACGGUGCCUCCACCUCACUCACUGAUACAUGAGAGACACAGUGACCAGAAGAUCCUGGAACUCACCAACAAGAUCAUUCAGCUGCUGACAGGAGAGGAGGGGGAGUAUAUAGAGGAACACAGGGGUCUGUACAAGGACGUGAUGAUGGAGAAUCACCGGCCGCUCACAUCACUGGAUGGGCCCAGUAACAGAGAUACCCCAGAGAGAUGUCCCCGUCCUCUGUAUUCCCAGGAUUGUACAGAGGAGAAUCACAGGAUCCCACA